GGGGUGCAACACGAGGACUUCCCAGGAGGUCACCCAUCCUAGUACUACUCUCGCCCAAGCACGUUUAACUGCAGAGUUCUGAUGGGAUCCGGUGCAUUAGUGCUGGUAUGAUCGCACCC
rnacentral:rRNA from 1 species